rnacentral:rRNA from 1 species
GAACGCGAAGAACCUUACCAGGUCUUGACAUCCAGUGCAAACCUAAGAGAUUAGGUGUUCCCUUCGGGGACGCUGAGACAGGUGGUGCAUGGCUGUCGUCAGCUCGUGUCGUGAGAUGUUGGGUUAAGUCCCGCAACGAGCGCAACCCUUGUCAUUAGUUGCCAUCAUUAAGUUGGGCACUCUAAUGAGACUGCCGGUGACAAACCGGAGGAAGGUGGGGAUGACGUCAAGUCAUCAUGCCCCUUAUGACCUGGGCUACACACGUGCUACAAUGGACGGUACAACGAGAAGCGAACCUGCGAAGGCAAGCGGAUCUCUUAAAGCCGUUCUCAGUUCGGACUGUAGGCUGCAACUCGCCUACACGAAGCUGGAAUCGCUAGUAAUCGCGGAUCAGCACGCCGCGGUGAAUACGUUCCCGGGUCUUGUACACACCGA